UAGGGAAUAUUAGAAAUGGACGAAAGUCUGAUCUAGCAACACCGCGUGUGCGAAGAAGGCCUUCGGGUCGUAAAGCACUUUUUGGAAGGAAUAGGAAGGAAUGUACUUCCAGAAUAAGUCUCGGCUAACUACGUGCCAGCAGCCGCGGUAACACGUAGGAGGCAAACGUUAUCCGGAUUUACUGGGCGUAAAGCGCGUGUAGGUGGUACUGUAAGUAGGGCGUGAAAGCUCCUGGCUCAACUGGGAGAGGCCGUUCUAAACUACAGAACUAGAGGAUGGGAGAGGGAGGUGGAAUGCCAGGUGUAGCGGUGGAAUGCGCAGAUAUCUGGAGGAACACCGGUGGCGAAGGCGGCCUCCUGGGCCAUUCCUGACACUCAGACGCGAAAGCUAGGGUAGCAAACGG
rnacentral:rRNA from 1 species